GUUUGAUCCUGGCUCAGAUUGAACGCUGGCGGUAUGCCUAACACAUGCAAGUCGAACGAAGCCUUCGGGCUUAGUGGCGCACGGGUGCGUAACGCGUGGGAACCUGCCUUUAGGUUCGGAAUAACUCAGAGAAAUUUGAGCUAAUACCGGAUAAUGUCUUCGGACCAAAGAUUUAUCGCCUUUAGAUGGGCCCGCGUUAGAUUAGAUAGUUGGUGGGGUAAUGGCCUACCAAGUCGACGAUCUAUAGCUGGUCUGAGAGGAUGAUCA
rnacentral:rRNA from 1 species